rnacentral:lncRNA from 1 species
GCUACCAUUUUCACCUUUUUACUAUUUAUUUUUUACUUUUCUUCAAUUUUGACAAGCUAGUCCUCCAUCGAAAUCAAUUCAUCCACCUCCUUUGUAUACUGUUCUGACGUUUCAUCCAGAAAUAUUGUGUAUUGAAGGAUCUUCUCCGGGCACCUCGGGAUCUCUUCACAGUGACUAACUUGGUGGUCUUCUCUUCGUCUGGCAUCCUCUCGCGUAUCUCAGGGUCUGUGGUGUGUAUCGAUUUCUUCGGUACCUAUGGGGUCACGGUGCAAGCUCUUUUCUUCUUAAACAACCGAAUGCGCCAUAUAAUUAUAUUCAAUAAUUGUAUGAAUUGUAUUACACAAAGGAGGCUUCGGGUUGAUACUCCACGCUAGAUAUCCUAAAGAACACGUCCAGGGAAGCCCAACGAACCAAUUCGGAUAUUCAAACGAUCAAAAACACUAUAUUGAUUUACAACACGAAUAAAGCAGUAUUAGGCCUAAAUAUUGCUGCAAGUGGCUGAAGUAUUAGAAAUUACUGCUAUGUGGAGUGGCAAAAUCAAAUGUACAAAAUGUAAUUGGACAACAGAUAAUGAGGAAAAUCUUUUUAUGAAAACGAAUAUUUUUAAUAUUCGUAAUGUAUAUUUUUGGAUUGAUGUAGGUAUAUAUAUUGUAUUUUUGGGUUUUAUGAACACUUUGACUCCAUUGAUCAGGCAUUGAUAUUUCAUAAUCUUAAUGUUUCGAAUUCACAUGGAUUUUUCAUCAGAUUUUGUGCCAAAGUUAAUUUAAACUUAUCAAUUGGAAUGUGGUACAGGAACAAGGAACUUUCAUUUCAACUACUGAAAAACAUUAUUCACAAUAAUCAUAUUAAUGAGUGUGAUAUUUUAUUGAACAUACUGGACUAUUUCAAUUCCCUGUCUACUUCCGAUUUUGUUUCUGAAAAUAUUUAAAAGAACUGGUGUUACCUCAUCAUCAAUUUUCUGAUGUCCUUCUCUUCUUAAAUUAUGAAAUUGUAUGUGUAGUAUGGAAAUCACUAUUUCUUAUUAAUUUUCAAUAAUAUUGUAAUAUUCAAACAAAGGAUGAAAUAAAUUUAAAUCAAAUAA